rnacentral:rRNA from 1 species
UACGUAGGGUGCAGGCGUUAAUCGGAAUUACUGGGCGUAAAGCGUGCGCAGGCGGUUUGCUAAGACAGGUGUGAAAUCCCCGGGCUUAACCUGGGAACUGCAUUUGUGACUGCACGGCUAGAGUGCGGCAGAGGGGGAUGGAAUUCCGCGUGUAGCAGUGAAAUGCGUAGAUAUGCGGAGGAACACCGAUGGCGAAGGCAAUCCCCUGGGCCUGCACUGACGCUCAUGCACGAAAGCGUGGGGAGCAAACAGG